GAUGAAGAACGCAGCGAAAUGCGAUAAGUAGUGUGAAUUGCAGAAUUCAGUGAAUCAUCGAAUCUUUGAACGCACAUUGCGCCCUUUGGUAUUCCAAAGGGCAUGCCUGUUCGAGCGUCAUUUGUACCCUCAAGCUUUGCUUGGUGUUGGGCGUCUUGUCUCUAGCUUUGCUGGAGACUCGCCUUAAAGUAAUUGGCAGCCGGCCUACUGGUUUCGGAGCGCAGCACAAGUCGCACUCUCUAUCAGCAAAGGUCUAGCAUCCAUUAAGCCUUUUUUUCAACUUUUGACCUCGGAUCAGGUAGGAUACCCGCUGAACUUAAGCAUAUCAAAAGCGGAGGA
rnacentral:misc_RNA from 1 species